CAAGAAUUCAUCUGUACUCAUUAGAUAUCUUUUAAAAAACACCCUUUAAUUAUCUACGCUAAUUUCUUUCGGUUAUUUAAAUGUCAUCAUAAACAAUUCCAACCUUCUUUCGUUACAUAAACAUUAUUGACCUAGAUCGUGAGGUGUAAGUAUACAUACAGCCACUAUAAACACUUUUCAGGGUCGACGCUGACUUUGCACUUUUCAAUAUUUAUACAACCAAAACAUAUAAGGGAAUCCUCAUUACACAUUCCACAUUCGUCAUUCUAUUAUUAGAUGUAAGAUUAUUCACAUUAAAAGAGAGUGUCAUCUACACUCCGCGGGGACGACGUUACGUAGGUUGUUACCAGCUUGUACUCAUGCGAGUAUAAUAAAACAACUUCAACAGUGAAA